AUUUUUUAAAGAUUUACGAUUUCCGUAUUUUGUUCAUUUCCGUUACCGGUAACUGCCGAUAAUUUCGUUUCAUUGAAAACUUCCUGUUUCAAAUUUCAGUUUUCGUAUUUCUCCUCGAGUAAUAUAUCCAAAAUGAUUAAUUCGAAAUAUUCUGCUGCUCAAUGAUGACAACAUUAUCUUCUGAGAAUAUAGAUUGAUUACUAGAAGGGCAUGAAAUAUUCGGGUUACGAGUAAUAGGCGGUGUCCCAAGAACGCUAAUCGUUGUAUGUCUCAAAUUUCAGUAUUAGAAAACCGUAGAUUUUUUUAUUUAAACAAUGACUUUGUGUCAGGGAAUUUGGACUGUGAAUAAUAUCCAAAGCGCAAGAAUCGUGGAACACAUUGGUACGAAAACAUGACUGGAAUAAAUUAAUUGACACAAGCACGAACUUGUGCGGUUUAUGACCGUAUAUUUUAAGCGGUAGGUCUUUUCACCACCGAACACCACCGAACACCCCAAAAAUCGAACAGAAAAGGAGAGUCUAUAACACUACCACUCUGCAAACCACCACUGGACACCUCAAAUAAUUUUUUUUCUUCAUUUUUUUUCUUCUUUUAUAAAAUAGUUGUAUCAAUAACAAGAAAAGAGACAUGAACAAAUGUUAAAUAUUUCGGGUAACUAAUAUCCUUAAUCAGUAAUUGAUGUCAAAUGAUUCUUAUACACAAACAAUGUAAUCCGGAAAAAUAGUGAUGAAUCCGGAGACGUUUUUCUCUUCUUUAUAUGGAUUAUAUUGAUAAUCGACUUUAACAGAAAAAUGACGGUACCUCGAAAGACCGAAUAACACUGUUAUUAUCCAAAUAACACUUGUAAUGACCGAAUAACACUUGAAAUUAAGAGUAUAAGAUUUUUGUAGAAGUUAAGGUAAGACACAAGAUGCCAAGUGAUGAGAUAAUAAAUAAUUAUAUUUUACUCCACCAGAAUGAAUUCUUUUACUAAGUCUGUUAAAUACAUUGCAGUAUCAAUUGUUUUAAUGACAGUUUGUUGUAUUGGCAUGAAUGGGAUUUAUAUUUUUUCCAGACAAGUCAACCAUGAAUCACCACCCCACCAACAACAACAGCCUGAAAAUCCACAACAGCAUAUUGAACAACAACAACAUACUGAACAAUAACCAGAACAGCAUACUGAACAACAACCAGAACAGCAUCCUAAACAACAACAACAGCAUAUUGAACCACAACAAGCACAACAGCAAUUUGAACAAAGAAAGACAGCAAGGAAAAGACUGUAUGAAGAAGCAUUUAAACAGAGGAAACCAACCACUAAAGCAACAUGCAUCCCUUCCAGGAUGCUACCUAACAGAGGUACUUCUCGUGGCAGGCCACAUGGAGGAAGGGGUAAAGGCAUUAGAGGUGGAAGAGGAAAAGGAUGAGGUGGUAGAAAGAAGGGCACUUACAUCCAAAGUAGCAGUACUGAGAGUAGUGAAAGUGAGAAUGAUAAGAUCAAUAUAAGCAGUCAUGACAGUGACCAGAGUCCUGUUAUAAACAAAGUUGAUAGACAAAAGGAUAGGAAAGCAAAAGAUCAAGAGAAGGUAGAGAAAGAAAAAGAUCAAGAGAAGGUAGAGCAAGAAAACGAUCAACAGGAGGAAGAGAAAGAGAAGGUAGAGAAAGAAAAAGAUCAAGAGAAGGAAGAGAAAGAAAAAGACCAAGAGGAUGUAGAAAAAGAUGUUACUCAAGAGAAAGAAAUUGUACAAGAAGAAGAAACACAUUACGAAGAAGUUCUGCAAGACGACAGCUUUUUGUAUGCUGCUACUCUAACAGAAGAAUUGGGAUAUCCCAUUGUCCAGGAUCUUUUGCAGCUGCAGAUGAAUACUUAGGAAGGGAUUUGGGAAUUUGAGGCUACUGACAUUAGCAAAGAUGAUGAAAUCAAAGUGGGUUAAUACGUCGCUGUUGCAUAUGAGAGCGAAUGGUUCGCUGGUCUUGUUGUGGAAAAGGUGGAUGACACUUUUAAAAUUAAUUUUAUGAAAAAGAUAUCAACCCGAAAUGAUUUCAAAUGGCCUGCCAAGGAAGAUACAUCCUGUGUCAGAAAAGAAUUCAUUUUCGAAACCAAUGUUGAAGUAGUCACCAAAGACUCCUAUGGCAGGAUUUGGCACAUUAAAGAGUACAAAGAAAUACAGAACAAAUUUCAAUCUUUCUGCAAAAAUUUUUUUACUAAUUGAUAUCAUUAUGUCCAUACAUUUUACUGACCAAGAGAUUUUAAGGCUUAUGGAAGUACUUAUGUAUAAAGAUUAACUCAUUAUGUAAGGAUUAUCCCUAUCUCAAUAUGUUAUCAAGCAUAUAUUUUUGAAAUAACUUUAAAUUUCGAUAAAGCAAAACAAAAUUUUGAUAUCAAACAUUAAGAAAGUUAGUUGUUUUAUGCGAGUAAAAUUGCCCCAUACACAUUGUUAACGACUUCUCUGAUCAAUAGUGUGUAUUGCUUCUGGAUACAUGAUUAAAGAAUAAACUAUAUCUGAUAGUGAUCAGCAUGAUGAUGUUACACUUCCAUAAGCCUUGACAUGUC